rnacentral:tRNA from 1 species
GAGGGUACAGCUCAGUGGUAGAGUGUGUGCUUAGCAUGCAUAAGGUCCUGGGUUCAAUCCCCAGUAUCUCCA